rnacentral:rRNA from 1 species
UACGUAGGUGGCAAGCGUUGUCCGGAUUUAUUGGGUUUAAAGGGUGCGUAGGCGGUCCUAUAAGUCAGUUGUGAAAUACGGCAGCUUAACUGUCGAGGUGCAAUUGAUACUGCAGGACUUGAGUACAGACGAGGUAGGCGGAAUUGACGGUGUAGCGGUGAAAUGCUUAGAUAUCGUCAAGAACACCGAUAGCGAAGGCAGCUUACUAGACUGUAACUGACGCUGAUGCACGAAAGUGUGGGGAUCAAACAGGAUUAGAUACCCUGGUAGUCCACACUGUAAACGAUGAUUACUCGAUGUUGGCGAUACACAGCCAGCGUCUUAGCAAAAGCGAUAAGUAAUCCACCUGGGGAGUACGCCGGCAACGGUGAA